CCGAGUUUACAACUCCCAAACCCCUGUGAACAUACCUAUACGUUGCCUCGGCGGAUCAGCCCGCGCCCCGUAAAAGGGACGGCCCGCCCGAGGACCCCUAAACUCUGUUUUUAGUGGAACUUCUGAGUAAAACAAACAAAUAUAUCA
rnacentral:misc_RNA from 1 species